rnacentral:rRNA from 1 species
GAACGCUGGCGGCGUGCCUAAUACAUGCAAGUCGAACGGUCUUUCUAUGGAAGCUUGCUUCCACUGAGAAGAUAGUGGCGAACGGGUGAGUAACACGUGGGUAACCUGCCCAUAAGAGGGGGAUAACAUCCGGAAACGGGUGCUAAUACCGCAUAGUUUUCUUGAUCGCAUGAUUGAGAAAGGAAAGACGGCCUUUGUGCUGUCGCUUAUGGAUGGACCCGCGGCGUAUUAGUUAGUUGGUGAGGUAACGGCUCACCAAGACGAUGAUACGUAGCCGACCUGAGAGGGUGAUCGGCCACAUUGGGACUGAGGCACGGCCCAAACUCCUACGGGAGGCAGCAGUAGGGAAUCUUCCGCAAUGGACGAAAGUCUGACGGAGCAACGCCGCGUGAGUGAAGAAAAGGGUUUUCGGAUCGUAAAACUCUGUUGUCAGAGAAGAACAAGUUGGAGAGUAACUGCUCCAGCCUUGACGGUAUCUGACCAGAAAGCCACGGCUAACUACGUGCCAGCCGCAGC